GCAGUCGGAACUGGGGUUCAGU
rnacentral:miRNA from 1 species